rnacentral:misc_RNA from 1 species
AAAGUCGUAACAAGGUUUCCGUAGGUGAACCUGCGGAAGGAUCAUUACCGAGAUAGGGUCCAGGCGGCCCGACCUCCAACCCCCUGCGAACCACACCCCCGUUGCCUCGGCGGGCCCGCGGCCCGUCCGCCUCGUGCCAGCGCCCGACAGCGCCCGCCGAAGGACACAUCAGAUCCCCUGAACGGUGCCGUCUGAGAACGCAAGCAAUAAAGCAAAACUUUCAACAACGGAUCUCUUGGUUCUG